AUAUAAAUAGCUUAUAAUUAGAGCAUAAUAUUGAAGCUAUUAAGGAGAUAAAUUUAUCUCUAUAUA
rnacentral:tRNA from 1 species